GGGGACUGCUCCAUUGAAUAUGCUCAAAUCAGGUUGAGCAAAGGGUAACCUGAUUAGAUACUGCCAAAGAAGAGAGGCUCCAUAGGCUGAUGUACCCUCCAUUCAGGCCAAGAUGACCUUGGGAAAAUCUCCACAACUUUCCAGAAACUGCCUGCUCUUGCCAUGUGCAGCAAAAGGAUAUGUAUCUGGUUCAUCCUCCAUGGGGAAGCCUGCAGCAGGUUUAAUCAUAACAUAACUGUGCAGAUCUACCCAACAAAUGGCAGAGAAAUGCAAAAACAGCAACAACAGUGUGGUCAUCAAAGUCACACUCUGCAGAAUGAUGGAGAGCAGCCAGGAGAUCUUCUGCCCACAAUGCUGCAUCUUUCAAUGACCAGCGGUACCAGGUGAAGUUUCAAGAGGCAUGCAAAGCACUCAGUCCCUACGUGGCUUAAAAAUCUGCUUAGUCUGGGC
rnacentral:lncRNA from 1 species